GGAGCGUGUUGCCUAUAAGGAAGAUAGACCCACGAGUCACAUUGUAUGAUGAGGAUGAUGAUGACAUACGGAGGAGAGAGAGUGUAUGAGAGAGGAGAGUGAGUCACUUGUGUUGAUGAUGAUGAUGAUGAUGACGGAGAAGAGCGUAGUGUAUGAGAGGAGAGAGGUGAGGUCACAUUGUGUGUGAUGAGUGAUGAGUGAUGACGAGGAAGAGAGCGGUGUAAUGGAGAGAGAGAGAGUGAGUCACAUUGUGUGUGAUGAUGAGAUGAUGAUGACGGAAGAGAGCGAGUGUAUGGAGAGGAGAGAGAGUGAGUCACAUGUGUGUGAUGAUGAUGAUGAUGACGGAGGAGGAGAGUGAGUCACAUUGUGUGAUGUGAUGACGGAAAGAGCGAGUGUAUGAGAGGAGAGAGAGUGAGUCACAUUGUUGUGAUGAUGAUGAUGAUGAUGACGAGGAGAGAGAGUGAGUCACAUUGUGUGAUGAUGAUGAACGGAAGAGAGCGAGUGUAAUGAGAGGAGAGAGAGUGAGUCACAUUGUGUGUAUGAUGAUGAUGAUGACGGAAGAGAGAGAGUGUACACUUGUGUGAUGAUGAUGACGGAAGAGAGCGAGUGUAUGAAGAGGAGAGAGUGAGUCACAUUGUGUGUGAUGGAUGAUGACGGAGACGGAAGAGAGAGAGUGAGUCACAUUUGUGUGAUGAUGAUGACGGAAGAGAGCGAGUGUAUGAGAGGAGAGAGAGUGAGUCACAUUGUGUGAAUGAUGAUGACGGAAGAGAGCGAGUGUAUGAGAGGAGAGAGAGUGAGUCACAUUGUGUGUGAUGAUGAUGAUGAUGACGGAAGAGAGAGAGUGAGUCACUUGUGUGUGAUGAUGAUGAUGAUGAGCGGAAGAGAGAGAGUGAGUCACAUUUGUGGGUGUGAUGAUGAUGAUGACGGAAGAAGAGAGUGUGUUACCUAAGUUGUUACCAUUUAUAUAAUGUAUGUACAUGUAAAUUUAUAGGUCUAUAUAAUAUAUAUGUACAAAGUGAUACAUGUUUAAUGUGUGUUCAGUGUGUGUUUGGUGUGUGUGUGUGUGCGAGUCCGAGAGAGAGAGUGUGUGAGAGAGAGAGUCGGGAUGUGUAUGAGAGGAGAUGCUGAAGAGGUGGAGAGUACAGAGAGGAGAGAGCGCGUGUGAGAGGAGA
rnacentral:lncRNA from 1 species